AGUUUGAUCCUGGCUCAGGAUGAACGCUGGCGGCGUGCCUAAUACAUGCAAGUCGAGCGAACGGACGAGAAGCUUGCUUCUCUGAUGUUAGCGGCGGACGGGUGAGUAACACGUGGAUAACCUACCUAUAAGACUGGGAUAACUUCGGGAAACCGGAGCUAAUACCGGAUAAUAUUUUGAACCGCAUGRUUCAAAAGUGAAAGRCGGUCUUGCUGUCACUUAUAGAUGGAUCCGCGCUGCAUUAGCUAGUUGGUAAGGUAACGGCUUACCAAGGCAACGAUGCAUAGCCGACCUGAGAGGGUGAUCGGCCACACUGGAACUGAGACACGGUCCAGACUCCUACGGGAGGCAGCAGUAGGGAAUCUUCCGCAAUGGGCGAAAGCCUGACGGAGCAACGCCGCGUGAGUGAUGAAGGUCUUCGGAUCGUAAAACUCUGUUAUUAGGGAAGAAYAUAUGUGUAAGUAACUGUGCACAUCUUGACGGUACCUARUCAGAAAGCCACGGCUAACUACGUGCCAGCAGCCGCGGUAAUACGUAGGUGGCAAGCGUUAUCCGGAAUUAUUGGGCGUAAAGCGCGCGUAGGCGGUUUUUUAAGUCUGAUGUGAAAGCCCACGGCUCAACCGUGGAGGGUCAUUGGAAACUGGAAAACUUGAGUGCAGAAGAGGAAAGUGGAAUUCCAUGUGUAGCGGUGAAAUGCGCAGAGAUAUGGAGGAACACCAGUGGCGAAGGCGACUUUCUGGUCUGUAACUGACGCUGAUGUGCGAAAGCGUGGGGAUCAAACAGGAUUAGAUACCCUGGUAGUCC
rnacentral:rRNA from 1 species